UGUUGUAAAGUAGGUACAUCGUCGAUGC
rnacentral:sRNA from 1 species